rnacentral:lncRNA from 1 species
GUGAAGUGCGCUGUAUUUAGUUUGUACUCUGUUACAGUCGGGCCCCCUGAGCUUCUACACUGGGGGAAAUUACUGAUGUCCAUGAAGGCCAGAUGCCACCCUUGGCGUGGUCCGCGGAGUCCAGCCCCAGGCCUCAGGUUUGCACAGCAGUCUGCAGCCCCAGGGAGGCCUCCUUGUGGAGGGGCGCGAGUGGUCCGCGCGUGUCUAAGCUUCCACGCUUGGCAUUCGGCCUGGGCGCGUCCUUCCUCCUCACACAGCUCGGCACCGCUCGGGGAUGCCCGUGACAGCUGCUUCUGAAAAAUACCAAACUCAUGGAAGGUUUGAAGAAGUCAGCCCAGCACUACUGUUUACUCCCAGCAGGACUUAGUGAGGACUAUGCCCGCCUCUGUCCAAACCGCCAGAAGGCCGCCGCUCACUCUGUGGCACUGCUGUCCAGGAGCGAGGACUUUUCCUCCUUACCCACAACGCCAGGACCACAGAGCAGGUACGGUCAGCGGUGCUGGAGCCCGGAGCACGGCCACGGGGCAAGGCAGGUGAGCUGGGUCUCCACGGCGUAAGCGGGCCUUGGAGUCACUCUGCAAGCACGGGAAAAGCUUCACAGUGGGCACAGCAUGCUCCUGCAGCCAGAGAGAAGUGUGUCUUUGUUUUUUGGGUCUCUUUUCUGUUAGCUCGUGCUUGCAGUGCGUGGUGAUUACACUCAAAGUGGUGACCGCUACGCAUGCGCAUCGCGUCUCCAUCCUUUGACCCCGGACCCUCCCGCUCUGCCCUCUUCGCUCAUCCCCACGGAAAUUGAGGCACAGAAGGUUAAACAUCUCGUAGUUUUUCUUAUAUGAAAGACCCAAAAUAUAAAUAAAGAGCAAGACAAAAGGUGGAUGAUAGAGCACAGGGAGGUAGUUUGGAAACGCGAAGUCUAUCAAGCGCUGUGGACUCGCACGGGGCUCUGGCGGGCCUGCGCCGUCCAGCUCCGUGCGCCAGGGGGCGCUGCGGGACCGCGCCGCCUCUCGGGGAACCCGCGGGAGCGCCGUGAGCAUGCGCGGACGUCCUGCGCGCGGACUGAGAAAGUGAGGAUGCGCACGCGCGCGGCAGGAAAGGCCAGUGGCGGAGGUCCCGCUCGCUUUGUCCUCCUGGGCCAGUGGGCCCCUUGCGGGGCAGGCCGUGCGGCGACAGCGCAGGGCGCCCUGGAGCCCCGGCGAAGUGCGCGCCCCGGAAGGGCCUGGCGCGGGCGUCGGCCUCGCGGAGAGUCGGGCGGGGUGGCCGAGUCGGGCUCAUACAGGUCAGUUUCGGGGUUGGGAGAAACCCUAGAGGCCACUCUUAGGGCGACUCCACAGACCUGUCACUUGGACACACCCGCGUCCACGAGCGUCUAG